rnacentral:rRNA from 1 species
CAGCAGCCACGGGAAUACGUAGGGUGCGAGCGUUAAUCGGAAUUACUGGGCGUAAAGCGUGCGCAGGCGGUUCGUUAAGACAGAUGUGAAAUCCCCGGGCUUAACCUGGGAACUGCAUUUUUGACUGACGGGCUAGAGUAUGGCAGAGGGGGGUAGAAUUCCACGUGUAGCAGUGAAAUGCGUAGAGAUGUGGAGGAAUACCGAUGGCGAAGGCAGCCCCCUGGGCCAAUACUGACGCUCAUGCACGAAAGCGUGGGGAGCAAACAGGAUUAGAUACCCCAGUAGUCCCUGUCUCUUAUAC